CCUUUAAAACCUAUUAUCUCCCAAAGCUACCAUGAUCCAAAAUUCAUAGUCGCUGAUCGUUCCUCCCUGUGCUGGGGACAAUACGCAGAGAAACUUUCAGCUUGUAUAAAAUAACGAAGGUCUGAAACGCACUGGGGCUCUCUCUAUUAUAAUGAUAAAAAAUUUACAUUUAGACGAUUGCGUUGAUUUGUACAUAUUGAUUUUAUUUGGAUCGUUAUUUUUUGUAUAUUAAGGUUCAUGAAUUAUGAAGACUAUAAAUUAAUUGAUCGUGAAUGUGAUUAAUGUCCGUGAACAGAUCACGAUAUGUGUACGAUUCGUAUACAUUUUAUAUUCGCAGACAUAAUUUCAUUAAUGUAAAUAAUUAAUAUCUAUCUAAUAUUAAUGUUUUUUUGCCAAGUAGUAUCCGUAUUGGGCACAUGUCGUUUUCUCCCAUUUCUUAAGAGCCCGUAGCAUCUUGACCAACCCUCUCUUUCACACAUUUCAAAAUUUUAGAUUUUUGUAAAAGUCUCAGACAAAUAUGGCUACCAUAAUCCCUUGACAAUAUAAUUAGGGACAUUUUAGACAUAUUUUUACUAUAAUAAACCUAGGUUUUGAUAGAGAAAAAUGGGGAGAAAAAUGCUGAUUUUAAUUUAAGUAAUUUAAGUUUAUAUUAAAAUUAAAAUAUUCUAAAAUGUCUGUAAUUAUGUGGUCAAGGGUUUAUAUUAGCCAGAUUUGUUGAAAGUAUAAUGAGAUUUUUUACAAUAAUUGAAAAUGUUAGAAAGUGCGAAAGAGGCGGAUAAUCAAGGUAAUUGGACUCUUAAUAGUGUAUCGAAUUAAAGAAUAAGUGUAUGUUAUAAUAAUUCUACUUUAUACUAAAAUCUUGUGGUAUUUCUUCUGGAAAUAGUAUUUAUCACAAUAUAAUGGAUACACAAUGUUGUUGAUGGUUGUACAAAAUCUGUAAACUAAAUUGGGUUACCGAAAUAUUAGAGGGUAUGAACAAUCUGGAUUGAUGCAAAUGUACUAAAACGGAAUCAGGAUAAUCUGCUAAGAAAGGAUACAGGGUAAUGCCAAAAUGAAUAAGUCAGAAAGUGAUAUUGUUACUAGAUUUUUGUCUAUUACAUAAAUAUGAUAUUGUAACUGUGAAAAAAAGGAAAUAAAUGAUUUAAAAAAUAAACUUUAUUUCUUAUUACAAUCUAGCUUAUCUCUAUUUUAAUUAUAAGUUAAUUAGUCAUUAGGUUUAGACAUUAAUUUUUAUUCUAAGGGUCUGUUUCACAUUUUCCAGUUAAACUGUCUGUUCUGUCUAACUGAUAAAUUUGUCAUUGUGACAGAUUCCUUAUACAAAAAUUGGCACAACUUCAAGUUUAUUAGGUAGAUAAAGUGUAUCUGGAAGUUGUGAAACAGGCCCUAUUUUAACUAACGAAAAAAUAUCUUAACAAUGAGUGUUCUGACCUCUGUGUUACCGUAACUUUUUAGUGUAAGUAUUCGU